GGCGCGGGGCCUGCCGGGAGGGGUGUGGUGGCUGCCCGGCGGCCAUGUUGGUGGGGCCCAGUGGAGAGGUCUCACGCCCUCCCAUUGAUCCGGCGCUAUCGACCACUCCAAUUUGCAGGAAUUUAUGUGCUGCCAGUGAGCUGUGAGCGGUGGGCAUGCUGCUCCCCGAGACGCUCUCCAGUGGCAUGGGGCAGUGAUUGAGUACUUGGGAAAUUAGUGUCCUUGCUGUCUCGUUCUAUGAAAGAUAAAUGCUAUGACAUUUAAUGCAGACCUUAAUUUAGAUCAGAACACAGCAGAUCAUUUUGCAGUUUAAUCGUAAACAGAGAAAAAUGCUGAAGAGGGAAGUAGUACAGCUGGAAACUUCGUGAAUCAUCCCUAUGAAAUGGGGUCCAUUGAGCUGCAGGUAUAUAUCUAACCAAAAAUUAAAGAAG